AGGGAGAAAGCAGGGGAUCGCAAGACCUUGCGCGAAUGGAGCGGCCGAUGCCGGAUUAGCUAGUUGGUAGGGUAAAGGCCUACCAAGGCGACGAUCCGUAGCUGGUCUGAGAGGAUGAUCAGCCACACUGGAACUGAGACACGGUCCAGACUCCUACGGGAGGCAGCAGUGGGGAAUUUUGGACAAUGGGGGCAACCCUGAUCCAGCCAUUCCGCGUGAGUGAAGAAGGCCUUCGGGUUGUAAAGCUCUUUCGGCAGGAACGAAACGGUGGGGGCUAAUACCCUCCGCUAAUGACGGUACCUGAAGAAGAAGCACCGGCUAACUACGUGCCAGCAGCCGCGGUAAUACGUAGGGUGCGAGCGUUAAUCGGAAUUACUGGGCGUAAAGCGUGCGCAGGCGGUUCUAUAAGACAGAUGUGAAAUCCCCGGGCUUAACCUGGGAACUGCGUUUGUGACUGUAGGACUCGAGUGUGGCAGAGGGGGGUGGAAUUCCACGUGUAGCAGUGAAAUGCGUAGAGAUGUGGAGGAACACCGAUGGCGAAGGCAGCCCCCUGGGUCAACACUGACGCUCAUGCACGAAAGCGUGGGUAGCAAACAGGAUUAGAUACCCUGGUAGUCCACGCCCUAAACGAUGCGAACUAGGUGUUGGGGAAGGAGACUUUCUUAGUACCGCAGCUAACGCGUGAAGUUCGCCGCCUGGGGAGUACGGUCGCAAGAUUAAAACUCAAAGGAAUUGACGGGGACCCGCACAAGCGGUGGAUGAUGUGGAUUAAUUCGAUGCAACGCGAAAAACCUUACCUACCCUUGACAUGCCAGGAACUUGCCAGAGAUGGCUUGGUGCCCGAAAGGGAGCCUGGACACAGGUGCUGCAUGGCUGUCGUCAGCUCGCGUCGUGAGAUGUUGGGUUAAGUCCCGCAACGAGCGCAACCCUUGUCAUUAGUUGCCAUCAUUUAGUUGGGCACUCUAAUGAGACUGCCGGUGACAAACCGGAGGAAGGUGGGGAUGACGUCAAGUCCUCAUGGCCCUUAUGGGUAGGGCUUCACACGUCAUACAAUGGUCGGUACAGAGGGUUGCCAAGCCGCGAGGUGGAGCCAAUCCCAGAAAGCCGAUCGUAGUCCGGAUCGGAGUCUGCAACUCGACUCCGUGAAGUCGGAAUCGCUAGUAAUCGUGGAUCAGCAUGUCACGGUGAAUACGUUCCCGGGUCUUGUACACACCGCCCGUCACACCAUGGGAGUGGUUUCACCAGAAGUAGGUAGCCUAACCGCAAGGGGGGCGCUUACCACGGUGGGAUUCAUGACUGGGGUGAAGUCGUAACAAGGUA
rnacentral:rRNA from 1 species